GAAGGUUGGAAAGAACUGACAUACUGUC
rnacentral:piRNA from 1 species